UGAUUCUCUGAUUCCAAAGGAUCAAGCAAUGAAAAUAUGAUUUCAUCCCCACCUUGGCAAUUAGCAUCAAUGUUGGUGCUGUUACUUGUUUCUUCCGACUUCCCAGGGGUCUCAGGAGCAUCCUCUCUAGCAGCAGGUUGGGUGCUGACUUCACUGGGUUUUGAGCAAGUUUACCCGCAACACUUUUCGUCAUGCAUAAGGUUGCCCAAAGGCAAAGUCAGUGUCAGAUAAUAGCAACAAAGCAGUCCUUCACUGAAUAAUUUCCAAAUACCAAUGACUGAGACAGUCUGUGUCACUUAAUCAAGACAAAACGUAGUGAAAUGAAUUGUCAGUGGUGCGUGUGUGUGUGUGUGUGUGUGUGUGUGUGUGUGUGUGUGCAUGACAUGCCAACCCAGGGCCUCAGUCAGAGCUCUACUGCUGAGCUGGAGAUAUCCCAGAGGGUCACUACAUUUGUGGCUUAGAAGACUGAAAUGUCUGGUCUGUAGGUUAAAUCAGGCUAGUAGUCUUCCAUUGCUUUGAGAAACACAGAGAAAACCCACUCAGAUUCUUUGGGCCUGUAGAUUCACAGGGUUCCAUCCACUUUGUUUCUGGGCCAUCAUGAGACAGCAUCAUGGCUGGGCAUGUGCUAGAGCAAAGCCACUCACCUGGUGACAGGCAGAAGGUGGCCCUCUCUCCAAGCAGGGGUGAAGAGAGACAUAGCCUUCAGUGGCCCUCUCCCUAGCAGGGGUGAGGGGAGACAUAGCCUUCAGUGGCACUCUCCCGAG
rnacentral:lncRNA from 1 species